rnacentral:rRNA from 1 species
AUUGAACGCUGGCGGCAGGCCUAACACAUGCAAGUCGAACGAGUGGCGGACGGGUGAGUAAUGGCUGGGAAACUGCCUGAUGGAGGGGGAUAACUACUGGAAACGGUAGCUAAUACCGCAUACCAUCAGAUGUGCCGAGAUGGGAUUGGCUUGUUGGUGGGGUAAAGGCUCACCAAGGCGACGAUCCCUAGCUGGGCUGAGAGGGUGACCAGCCACACUGGAACGGAGACACGGCCCAGACUCCUACGGGAGGCAGCAGUGGGGAAUCUUGCACAAUGGGCGCAAGCCUGAUGCAGCCAUGCCGCGUGUAUGAAGAAGGCUUUCGGGUUGUAAAAUACUUUCAGCGGGGAGGCGGUACCCGCAGAAGAAGCACCGGCUAACUCCGUGCCAGCAGCCGCGGUAAUAC